rnacentral:lncRNA from 1 species
CCCAAAGGUGCGGCAGCUGGAGGCUUGUGCUCCUGGAGGGAAAUCUGAGCAGGGCUCUCUUCCACAGCUGCCAUACCUCCUUUACCUGGAACCUGGAGAUGCUCCUUGCAAUGAAUGAUCCAGAGCAGCUUAUAGUCAAAGGGAAGGCUGACUCUGGAACUCAAGCCUUCUCACUCAAAGGCCAGUAGUCUUUGUUUCUGGUGAGGGCCAGAUGAAUGAAGCAUAAAUAGUUUGUCCUGUUUUAUCAGUAGCUGUCACAAGGCAUCAUUUCUUUGGCAGCAGAUCUUAGCACAGUUUAUAUGUUUAAUAUUUAACAUAUAUCAGUAACCUAUGACUCAAGCUGAUCACAGACUCAAAUAUAAUGUACCUUGUGGAUGAGCAAGAAGUAAAAAUAGUGUAAGCAUUUCAUCUUGGCCGGGAAAUAGAUAUGAAUGUUCAUGGAAGAAUGAACAAAGGAAGAGGCUUGCAGGUUGGGUCAAUUAAUUCUCUCUCUGGAAUUUUGAACUGAGAUUCACAGAGAAGCUGUUGUGAAGGAGCCAUGGAUAGCUGGAGGCAGAGUAUAGUAGUGCAAUCACAGCUCAUUACAACCUGGAACUCCCCAGCUCAAGUGAUCCUCCACCUUCAGCCUCUCAAGUAUCUAGUACUACAGUUCCCUUGGAACAAGACUGGGGAGAGUAAAAAAAAGGUAGAAGAUUGCUCCUCUGUGUUUACUGAAAAUCCCCAUCACAGCAGGCUCAAGUCGUUGCUUUUCUAUUAACUUACUGGAUGAUCUUGGAAAAGUCACUUUAUUGCUCCAGACUUUAGUGUCCACAACCAUAAAAUAAGAGCAUUUAAUCAGAACUAAGAAGAUCAGAUAGAUAUCACCAGUUCUAUGACUCUUCCCAUACUACCAGCUGGUCAUAGAAGUCUUUUCCCCUAAGCCAGACCCAGCCUCAGAGUUAUUCUCCAGAAAGCACUCUAGACAGCCAGUCUUGACCAACAGAUCAUAGCCAGCAAACAAACUGAACCACAUUUGACAUCCUAGGACUAGAUGCUAAAGUGCCUUCCAGCUCUAAAAUUCUAGGUGAUCCUGGUUAGAUAGAGUGGUCAAAAGAUGAAGUAAAAAUCACAUAAGUUAUUAUAGCUAAUUGGAAACAGUCAGUAAAAGUUUCCUCAAUGUCAAAGUGAUAACUGGUGAUUAAAUUAACGUUUAGGAAAAAAAAGCUGUGAGAUCACUUCUUUUUUCAACUAAUAUUAGGAAUACUAGAAGUUGUAACUAGGGGUUGAGAAGAGUUAGAGGAAAAUAUAAAAGAUGUAGCUUAUAGGAUUUUUCACUUUCUACUCAAUAAUAUAGGGAGAGAAUGACAAAACCAGGAGUCUCUGUCUAGGAUUUUCAUCCACAGAAAAUACCAUAGAUUUGCCAUCUGACAGAAUCCAUAGGCUGGGGGUCCACAGAAUCUACAGUGAAAACCUAUGGUGAUUUCAACCUCAGAAUUAAACAAUGAUUACAUCAUAGAUUUUUCUAAUCUAUAAAUGCUCAUAUAUAAUGUUCAUUUAAUUCUUUGCAAAAAGAAAAAAGUAAAUCUUCGAAGAAUAAUUAAUUGGAAGAAAGAAUCACUAAAAACUUAUAUUAUUUGUUAAAAUUAAUUUGUCUAAAUAUGUGGAGAAAAAAUCCUGGAGAGUGCCAGUUAAAUCAAAAAUUUCCAUAUAAAUGAAACUGGUAUAACAAUAACAACAAGCACAGUGGAUCAUACAACAAGCAAGAAAAAUAAAAGUUCCCAACAAUUCUUGCACUGUUGAGACAAAAGUGCUGGCUCUACAUACUCCCUCCCUUUCCUGCCUAACUUCCUCAACUCCUCAAGGAGGGUCCUGCUCGUAUCACAGGCAUCACGGAGCCUCACUUUGCAGGCAGAGGAGGCAACAAAUACCUCUCCUUCUGCCCCUUCUGUCUCCUCAGACAGGUAUGACAUAACUGGUAGAUGCUCGAGGAGGAAGCAACUGUGGAGGAGAGACUCUUGGACAUCCUUGCUGUUCUCUCUCCUUUCCUAGAGGAAACAGCUGGAGGUCCUUUUAUGUGGGGAGCUCAUUUGCCUUUGUAAAAUCAAAUGGAAUCAGGAAUUCAGUAGUUGUCUCUUUGAGGCUUACUCAAGUCAGGACUUUAAAAGAAUGACUGGAAGAGUCCAAGCAUGUUUCCCAGCUAAGACUUCAAGGGAUCUGCAUGUGACGGGGAGUUGGGGUAGCAACUCUCUUCAGGAAUAAAGAGUGUACUAGAAUACACAGAGUGGCCAGAGGAUCCCCAAAGCUGAAACCCUAGGGAGUUCCAUCUCUGCAUCAGGUUACUGUGUCAAAAGGAAACGCCUCCUCCCCCAACAAAAAUUAUACAAGCCCCUACAGCUGGAAUUCAGGAGGAGAAAGAAGAAAGAGAAAUUCUUUGUACACUUUUCACGUGGUCCCAAUUCAUUUGUAUGCCAUGUUAAGGAUUAAGAUGAUUCCUGCUCAUGCUUGCUGACGUACAUCCAAGAUUAUCCUGCUAAAUCUCCAGAAAUGCCAACUGGGAAACAAAUGACAAUUGUUCUCUUAAAAGAUCUUUGUUUGACUGUGUGACUGUAAUGGCCUGUUGGGCUCCUUCAAGUGCCAGCCUGAAGACAACAAUGUAAAAAGGAAGAAAGAAAACCUUUGCAGAGCAGCAAUCAAGGGCCACUGCAAGUCCAGCUCCACAAAGCCAGUGGCUGGCCUUUUAGCCAAGUGCUGAAGCAGAAUGCCAGAACCAAGAGCAAGACAGACAGGCACCCGCGCAUAGAGCCAGAGUAGUGCAAAGCUUCAGCACAGAACUGGGCAAAAGUUUCAGCAGUUGGGGCCAAUUGUGCCCAGAGCUGGAUUCAAGGCUGCUGAAGGAAUCAGAACUCUUGGCACAGGAGAACUAGAGGUAGCCUUGCCAGCAGGUCCUGAAGAAGACCUGUGGUUCGCGCACACACAUCCAGCAGUGCAUAAGGCUAAGGUCUGACUGUCUACAAUGACUCAACACCAUCCAAGUUCCCUCUUCUGUCCUGUUCCUGUACAACCUUUCCCUUGCAAGGCUGCCCUCAGAGUUCAUUUCACUCCAUUUCCUCUGAGAAAAAUUUCUCAGGACUUCCUGGGGAGAAGAGGCAAGGGAGAAAAGGAAGGCUUUAUCGCACAGUGCAAUUUCCUCUGCCUAGCACUUUCCCCUCCUCACCCUUUGCCUUAGGGGUGGUUCCACUUCAGCUCUGGAGAGGGUCUUGCCUCCUCUUCUGAGCUGCCAUAUGAGGCCCCAUCUGCCUCCACAGCAAUGUCAGCACACAAUAAAGGGACACUCAGAGACCUACCCUUGCUCUCUUCCCAUCUCUCAUUGCUGUGAUCAAUGGAAGAAGCCUUAGCAUCAUGUCUAGGUUCCCAGGAGCCAAGUAUAGGACUGUCCACUUGAGGAAACUCCUGUAGGUCCAUCCACUUGGAAAGGCUCAGCCUUUAGAGAACAAACUGAAGUAUUUGUUAAAUGAAAUGUAUUUUCACUGACAUUUGGGCUCUCGAUUUCUGUUCUACCAGAUUUUUCUUAACCCUCUUAUUUUGUAAUGGAAUAGCUAAGAUAACAAGGCAAGAGGA